UUGAAUUUCAACAAGUCGCGGUGAUUUUGGUUGUUUUUUUCACAUUGAAUCAAUCAUCUGCUUUAAAAGAUCAACCAAGACUUGAAACUCGGAAUGGACAUUUGUAUAUAAUAGCUGCAGACUCUCAGAAUAUUACAUUUGUCACUUCUGGAAAUGGAGCAGUGAAUUUGAAUGGGGAAAAUCUGGUUCACCUUGUGGCUGUUGCAAAAAAAGCAGCUUCAAUUGUGGAGAAUGUACAGUCCAGCGUCCUGGUUCCAUUUGAAGAACGUCUGAAUACGUUGGCAGAUAGCAUAAAUGGUCCAAACGGAUUGCUGCAGGCUCUGGCCCAUUACAGAGCAACAGGGAC